GCUAACUCUUAAAUAUGAUGUCGUUGAAAAACAAAGUCAAAGAUAAGUUGACGGGUUUGAGAGAAAGUAAAGGUGAGAUUAAUUGGAAUUAGGCCAUUCACUAGAAUGGAUAUAUUCUUAUGUGUAUUUGGAAUACAAAGUAGUAUAAUAUGUGAUAUAUGUGGUUUAUACUUUCUAUACUUUUUCUUAUGUCUUUUUAUGCCUUGGUCCAAUUACCUUUUGAAUUCAAUCUGUUUUUUUAGAAACUUGGUUGCAAGAAAAAGUUGGAAGGGCAACAUAAUUGGAAAAUUGGGUUACAACAAUCACCCUCUAAACUGCAGAGGAGUCUGCAUUUGAAGUUCUUUUCGAUUGGGAUGAGAAGAUUGGAGUCCCGAGAGCAUUCAUAAUUAGAAAUGAGCAUCAGAAUCUUCUUUGGUUCCUAUGCUAGCUUUGUGUGUCUCCAUCUCCAAAUAAUUUAGUUGAAAAUCACUAAUAUGCAUGCAAAUUUGAAAGGGUUUUGAUCUUUCGAUGAGUUUAAAAUGUUUGUUGGUGGUUGGUUGUAUUGCUGUCAAAUAUUUGUUGGAUAGUUUGGAACGGAGAAGUUGGUUGAUUUAGAGAAACUGAAUACACAUGGAAUUUGGAAGAGUUUUUGGUCUUA